rnacentral:snRNA from 1 species
AUGUGUUACAGCUCUUUUAGAAUUUGUCUAACAGGUAUUCUCGCUUUAGCUGGAAAACCCUU